AAUAAAUUUUGCCACCAUGUCAAUCAAGAACUUUAGGUUAUGCUUGUUUUUGUUCAUCAGAUCAGAGUAAUAGUCCCGCUUUGUAGCAAAUAAUCCAUGGUUAUAGGCCAAU